CUGACCAUAUCACGUUGAAACAUCGGUUCCCGUACGAUAAUAAACGUUUAGCAACGUCGUGCCUGGUCAAUACCCAGAUGGGUGACCACUUGGGAAUAUCAAGUGCUGUAAG